rnacentral:rRNA from 1 species
GACGAACGCUGGCGGCGUGCUUAACACAUGCAAGUCGAACGGAAAGGCCCUGCUUUUGUGGGGUGCUCGAGUGGCGAACGGGUGAGUAACACGUGAGUAACCUGCCCUUGACUUUGGGAUAACUUCAGGAAACUGGGGCUAAUACCGGAUAGGAGCUCCUGCUGCAUGGUGGGGGUUGGAAAGUUUCGGCGGUUGGGGAUGGACUCGCGGCUUAUCAGCUUGUUGGUGGGGUAGUGGCUUACCAAGGCUUUGACGGGUAGCCGGCCUGAGAGGGUGACCGGCCACAAUAGGACUGAGAUACGGCCCAGACGCCUACGGGAGGCAGCAGUGGGGAAUAUUGCACAAUGGGCGGAAGCCUGAUGCAGCAACGCCGCGUGCGGGAUGACGGCCUUCGGGUUGUAAACCGCUUUCGCCUGUGACGAAGCGUGAGUGACGGUAAUGGGUAAAGAAGCACCGGCUAACUACGUG